AUACGGAGGAUGCGAGCGUUAUCCGGAUUUAUUGGGUUUAAAGGGUGCGUAGGCUGUGCGUUAAGUCAGGGGUGAAAUGCCGUCGCUCAACGACGGAGCUGCCCUUGAUACUGGCGUGCUGGAGUACGGAUGCCGUUGGAGGAAUGAGUGGUGUAGCGGUGAAAUGCUUAGAUAUCACUCAGAACACCGAUUGCGAAGGCAUCUGACGAAUCCGUCACUGACGCUGAGGCACGAAAGCGUGGGGAUAGAACAGGAUUAGAUACCCUGGUAUUCCACGCCGUAAACGAUGAUGACUAACCGUCGGCGAUAGACAGCCGGUGGCCAAGCGAAAGCGAUAAGUCAUCCACCUGGGGAGUACGUCGGCAACGAUGAAACUCAAAUGAAUUGACGGGG
rnacentral:rRNA from 1 species